UCCCAUGGCCCUUAUGGGUAGGGCUUCACACGUCAUACAAUGGUCGGUACAGAGGGUUGCCAAGCCGCGAGGCGGAGCCAAUCCCACAAAGCCGAUCGUAGUCCGGAUUGUUCUCUGCAACUCGAGAGCAUGAAGUCGGAAUCGCUAGUAAUCGCAGGUCAGCAUACUGCGGUGAAUACGUUCCCGGGCCUU
rnacentral:rRNA from 1 species